UACGUAGGUGACAAGCGUUGUCCGGAUUUACUGGGCGUAAAGAGCGCGCAGGCGGUCGGUCAAGUCGAGUGUGAAAGCCCCCGGCUCAACUGGGGAGGGUCAUUCGAUACUGAUCGACUCGAAGGCAGGAGAGGGGAGUGGAAUUCCCGGUGUAGUGGUGAAAUGCGUAGAUAUCAGGAGGAACACCGGUGGCGAAGGCGGAUCUCUGGGCCAUUACUGACGCUGAGGAGCGAAAGCGUGGGGAGCGAACAGG
rnacentral:rRNA from 1 species